rnacentral:rRNA from 1 species
AAGGAACUUACCUGGUCUUGACAUCCACAGAACUUAGCAGAGAUGCGAUGGUGCCUUCGGGAACUGUGAGACAGGUGCUGCAUGGCUGUCGUCAGCUCGUGUUGUGAAAUGUUGGGUUAAGUCCCGCAACGAGCGCAACCCUUAUCCUUUGUUGCCAGCGGUUAGGCCGGGAACUCAAAGGAGACUGCCAGUGAUAAACUGGAGGAAGGUGGGGAUGACGUCAAGUCAUCAUGGCCCUUACGACCAGGGCUACACACGUGCUACAAUGGCAUAUACAAAGAGAAGCGACCUCGCGAGAGCAAGCGGACCUCAUAAAGUAUGUCGUAGUCCGGAUUGGAGUCUGCAACUCGACUCACAUGAAGUCGGAAUCGCUAGUAAUCCU